ensembl:snRNA U6 U6 spliceosomal RNA
GUGCUCACCUUGGCAGCACAUAUACUAAAAUUGGAAUGAUACAGAGAAGAUUAGGAUGGCCUCUGCACAAGCAGUCUUGAAAUGUACAGACUGCAUGGAGAAAGCUAUUU